GACGAACCGUGCGAACGUUGUUCGGAAUCACUGGGCUUAAAGGGCGCGUAGGCGGGCUCACAAGUCAGGGGUGAAAUCCCACGGCUCACCGUGGAAGUGCCUUUGAUACUGUGGGUCUUGAGGGAGGUAGGGGCGUGCGGAACUUCCGGUGGAGCGGUGAAAUGCGUAGAUAUCGGAAGGAACACCGGUGGCGAAAGCGGCGCGCUGGACCUCUACUGACGCUGAGGCGCGAAAGCCAGGGGAGCA
rnacentral:rRNA from 1 species